rnacentral:lncRNA from 1 species
GCUGCCGCCGGGAGGGCUCUGCUGCCUCGCCCCAGGGGGAAUCGGAGCAGGCUGGGGGAAGAGGAGGCUUUUUCUCGCCCAUCGCAAGGCUUGCACGGGAGCGUGAACGCGUUUUGCUUCCAGACAGAGGCAGCCCUGCACGAGCAUCACCGAGGCUAGCAGCACACUCACUGGCAACAGACCAUCCUCAUCCUCCCUGACACACUACUCCAGGCACCGAGCCAAGGGGACAGCUAUCAGUCCUGAGCUGGGCCACCAGGGCUGCUACGUUUGGAGAACAUCUGCAUAAAACUGCAGCCCCAUUCUGGUGCAGGCAGUGGCUGCAGCAGCCAGCGGGUAGAGCUCCAGAAGCUCCUCAGGCAAGUGUAUCUCCUCCGUGUGUAGGAGUAGCCGCUGACUGGUAGCAGCCCAAUUUCCAAGAACUCCCAAAAGUUACAAGCCUUCACAUCUUGCUGAAUCGGUGCAAGAUCCAGAGCAGCUCCACGCUCAGCAGCUCAGAGAGAGCAAAGAUCCGUGUCUCCAUAGCCAGAACCUCGGUGCUGAACACGAGUAUCUCCAUCCCCUCCUCCCGGAGAAGCUCUCUGGGAUUCCUGCACACAUGCCUGGCCCUAAUGAAAGGGCCCGGCGCCUCCCCAUCGCCCAGCCAGUUAAACCUGCACAAACUGAGCCCAUCGCACACAAAAAGCCUCUCCUGGGUAUCCCCCAGGGUUCAGCCCUGCUCCCCUUCUACACGGCUUCUCCAUGCUGCAAGAGCUUUCUUCAAGCUCAUGGUGUGCCUGGCACAGCAUCCCAGUGAACCCUGGCACAGCAUCCCAGUGAACCCUGGUGCA